rnacentral:lncRNA from 1 species
CUACCGCCUUCACCUGAGAUUCACCUACGGACCGUUCCGUCCCUAACAGAUCCAGUGGCUUCAACGAAGGCGAACUACUCUCCGCCGAUUGAUUACCGCUGCUCGAAGGAUAUGAGUUCGACGAUAGAACUUGCUCUUCACAGGAAUCAGAGGUAGAUACAGCCACCGGUGGUUGAGCAGGCGGAGGCGGAGGCGGAGACGGAGACGGAGGUGGAGGUGGAGGCUGAGGCGGAG